CCUAACCCUUUAGCGGGGGAUAGCCCUGGGAAACCGGGGGUAAUACCGCAUAAGCUCUACAUGACGCCUGUUUUGUAGAGGAAAGGGUGAUAGAUGAGAGUCUAUCAUUCACUGAAGGAAGGCUUUGCGGCCUAUCAGGUAGUUGGUGAGGUAACGGCUCACCAAGCCAUAGACGGGUAGCUGGUCUGAGAGGAUGGUCAGCCACACUGGGACUGAGAUACGGCCCAG
rnacentral:rRNA from 1 species